AACUUUCAACAAUGGAUCUCUUGGCUCUCGCAUCGAUGAAGAAUGCAUCGAAAUGCGAUACAUAAUGUGAAUUGCAGAAUUCAGUGAAUCGUCGAAUCUUUGAACGCAUAUUGCGCUCUUUGGUAUUCCGAAGAGCAUGCUUGUUUGAGUAUCAGUAAACACCUCAAAGACUUCAAUUUGUUUUGAAUGGCUUUGGACUUGAGCAAUCCCAACACCAGUCUUUACGAUCGGUGGAGGGUUGCUUGAAAUGCAGGUGCAGCUGGACAUUCUCCUUAGCUAAAAGCAUAUUUAUUUAGUCCCGUCAAACGGAUUAUUACUUUUGCUGCAGCUAACAUAAAGGGAGUUUGACCGUAUUGGCUGACUGAUGCAGGAUUUCACAAGGGUCGGCAACGAUUCUUGUUAAACUCGAUCUCAAAUCAAGUAAGACUACCCGCUGAACUUAAGCAUAUCAAUAAGCGGAGGCU
rnacentral:misc_RNA from 1 species